CUAAAUUUCCCUGAAGAAGAGCUUCAGACAAGUGAGUGGAGGCUGGAAGAGAUUAAUGUCAGCUGGAAAACUUCUGACAAAAUAUUUCUGCAUCAGGAAAGAUGUGGCAAGAUACUACAGUUCUUCACAACUCCAAAGCACUAGCUACAUUUAUGGAUACAGAUGCCCUCAGAGUUUCAACUGUUUCCCUCAUUCACCAAACCAGGCUACUCUUCACACAAGACUACCUGACUGA
rnacentral:lncRNA from 1 species